rnacentral:rRNA from 1 species
AUUGAACGCUGGCGGCAGGCCUAACACAUGCAAGUCGAACGGUAACAGGAAGAAGCUUGCUUCUUUGCUGACGAGGGGCGGACGGGUGAGUAAUGUCUGGGAAACUGCCUGAUGGAGGGGGAUAACUACUGGAAACGGUAGCUAAUACCGCAUAACGUCGCAAGCCCAAAAAGGGGGACCUUCGGGCCUCUUGCCAUCGGAUGUGCCCAGAUGGGAUUAGCUAGUAGGUGGGGUAACGGCUCACCUAGGCGACGAUCCCUAGCUGGUCUGAGAGGAUGACCAGCCACACUGGAACUGAGACACGGUCCAGACUCCUACGGGAGGCAGCAGUGGGGAAUAUUGCACAAUGGGCGCAAGCCUGAUGCAGCCAUGCCGCGUGUGUGAAGAAGGCCUUCGGGUUGUAAAGUACUGUCAGCGGGGAGGAAGGGAGUAAAGUUAAUACCUUUGCUCAUUGACGUUACCCGCAGAAGAAGCACCGGCUAACUCCGUG